CUGCUUAAAAGCCUAGCUUGUCCCUGCUAGCUAGAGCUGACUGACGGGAGCUCACAUCAUCUUGUGGAUUUGAACCGGCAACCUUCAGGGCCCUGGAUUAUUAGAAGCAUCCGUUUUCUUGAGAAGAUCAUCCUGGAGACACAGAGAGUGAAG
rnacentral:lncRNA from 11 species